rnacentral:rRNA from 1 species
CAAUACGUAAGCGGCAGACGGGUGAGUAACGCGUGGGAACGUACCCUUCAGUUCGGAACAACCCAGGGAAACUUGGGCUAAUACCGAAUACGUCCGUAAGGAGAAAGAUUUAUCGCUGAAGGAUCGGCCCGCGUCUGAUUAGCUUGUUGGUGAGGUAACGGCUCACCAAGGCUACGAUCAGUAGCUGGUCUGAGAGGAUGAUCAGCCUCACUGGGACUGAGACACGGCCCAG